rnacentral:rRNA from 1 species
CUACGGGACGCUGCAGUGGGGGAUAUUGCACAAUGGGCGAAAGCCUGAUGCAGCAACGCCGCGUGAAGGAAGACGGUUUUCGGAUUGUAAACUUCUAUCAGCUGGGAAGAAAAUGACGGUACCAGACUAAGAAGCCCCGGCUAACUAUGUGCCAGCAGCCGCGGUAAUACAUAGGGGGCAAGCGUUAUCCGGAAUUACUGGGUGUAAAGGGUACGUAGGCGGCUGAUCAAGUCAGAUGUGAAAGCCCGGAGCUCAACUCCGGGAUUGCAUUUGAAACUGGUCGGCUAGAGUGCAGGAGAGGAAAGUGGAAUUCCUAGUGUAGCGGUGAAAUGCGUAGAUAUUAGGAAGAACACCAGUGGCGAAGGCGGCUUUCUGGACCGUAACUGACGCUGAGGUACGAAAGCGUGGGGAGCGAACAGGAUUAGAUACCCUCGUAGUC